AUUGAACGCUAGCGGGAUGCUUUACACAUGCAAGUCGAACGGCAGCGCGGACUUCGGUCUGGCGGCGAGUGGCGAACGGGUGAGUAGUGUAUCGGAACGUGCCCAGUAGCGGGGGAUAACUACGCGAAAGCGUAGCUAAUACCGCAUACGCCCUACGGGGGAAAGCAGGGGAUCGUAAGACCUUGCACUAUUGGAGCGGCCGAUAUCGGAUUAGCUAGUUGGUGAGGUAACGGCUCACCAAGGCGACGAUCCGUAGCUGGUUUGAGAGGACGACCAGCCACACUGGGACUGAGACACGGCCCAGACUCCUACGGGAGGCAGCAGUGGGGAAUUUUGGACAAUGGGGGCAACCCUGAUCCAGCCAUCCCGCGUGUGCGAUGAAGGCCUUCGGGUUGUAAAGCACUUUUGGCAGGAAAGAAACGUCGCGGGCUAAUACCCCGUGGAACUGACGGUACCUGCAGAAUAAGCACCGGCUAACUACGUG
rnacentral:rRNA from 1 species